UACGUAGGGUGCGAGCGUUGUCCGGAAUUAUUGGGCGCAAAGGGCUCGUAGGCGGUUUGUCGCGUCGGGAGUGAAAUCCACUGGCUUAACUGGUGGCUUGCUUUCGAUACGGGCAGACUGGAGGUAUGCAGGGGAGAACGGAAUUCCUGGUGUAGCGGUGAAAUGCGCAGAUAUCAGGAGGAACACCGGUGGCGAAGGCGGUUCUCUGGGCAUGUCCUGACGCUGAGGAGCGAAAGUGUGGGGAGCGAACAGG
rnacentral:rRNA from 1 species